AUGGCAGCAAGUGGAAGCAUCAACACCAGUACCACAAAACUCAGCCCUUAUAACGUGAUGUUUAGAGUCAAAAUGACUGCUUUGCUUCUGCUGUAUGUAUCUUGGAGCUGGAUUUUUCUACGAAUUCAGUGGGAGCUUGUUACCAUGUUAAAUGCCCAGCUUUCAUUAAAUCCACACCUGAAGGAUGCCAUACACAACAGAGCGCGGAGGUGGGCUGUGGGCUUCCAGCAAGUUACCACUGCCAGGGAGGAUGUGAUGAUGAACAGCUAG
rnacentral:lncRNA from 1 species